GACGAACGCUGGCGGCGUGCUUAACACAUGCAAGUCGAACGGAAAGGCCCUGCUUUUGUUGGGUGCUCGAGUGGCGAACGUGUGAGUAACACGUGAGUAACCUUCCCUUGACUUUGGGAUAACUUCAGGAAACUGGUGCUAAUACCGGAUAGGAGCUCCUGCUGCAUGGUGGGGGUUGGAAAGUUUCGGCGGUUGGGGAUGGACUCGCGGCGUAUCAGCUUGUUGGUGGGGUAGUGGCUUACCAAGGCUUUGACGGGUAGCCGGCCUGAGAGGGUGACCGGCAACAUUGGGACUGAGAUACGGCACAGACUAAUACGGGAGGCAGCAGUGGGGAAUAUUGCACAAUGGGAGGAAGCCUAAUGCAGCAAAGCCGCGUGCGGGAUGACGGCCUUCGGGUUGUAAACCGCUUUCGCAUGUGACGAAGCGUGAGUGACGGUAAUGGGUAAAGAAGCACCGGCUAACUACGUG
rnacentral:rRNA from 1 species